UGGAUAGAUUAUUGUAUUCGACUGUAUUCACGGCGUGAAACAGGGGAUUACACUGUUUUUAAACGGAAAGUGAAUCAAUUAACAUAAUAGACUCCU
rnacentral:pre_miRNA from 1 species